UGACUUUCUGAAAUUCACCCCAUUUGGCAGAUUCUGAAGUUCUGAGGAACAAGUUCUGACUAAAAAUCCUAUAAUUUUGUGUUUAUUGUGUAUAUACUAUCAAUUUUGAAUAGAUUUAAGACACUGGAAAUCCCUCUACGUACCUUUCACCCAAACUGUGAAUAUUUGCUGCAAUAAGAACGUUUACAUGACCACAUGUGCUUAGUAAAUUACUUUAAUUAUAGUUUAAGUAGCAAUAAGAACACAAAACUUUGAAAAGCAUUCUCUUUGAUAUCAAUAUGAAUGAUCUCUCAUUCUAAUUUGGGAUCUAAUGAGUUCUUUUACUGUUAGAUACUGAACUUUUAUUUAUAUAACUCAUCACUUCUGGUGUGUUUUUCUGUACCCCAAUCCAGGGUCUUCUGAUAUUGGAAGAGAGACAUAGGACUCAUAAUAACUGCUACUUUUCAAAAGCUAAUCUUCAAAACAGUUUCUAAAUAUGCUCUUCAGAGGUUUUAUUUUUCUUUAAAUAUUACACUUCAAAUAAUCAUAGGUUAUGUCUACAUAGUAUCAGUAAAUUUGUUAAAAAGUGAAAAGUUCAAUAAGUCAGUAUCAUGUUUUGUCUGAACAUUAUAAAAUUGUAGGCUUGCCUCAUUUGCGUGUGUGUGUGUGUGUGUGUGUGUGUAAUGAAAUUGACUGUUCUUUUAAAUAAAAUGUCAAAGUCUGUGUUGUUUGUGUUGGCUAGAUCAAGCUGUUGUGCUAUAUAGUCAUGCAGUUAAAAUAGGCAUGAGGUGUCCUAGGUAAUAAGGCAAAAUAACAGUAACAUUUCAUGUUUUAGCUAUAAAUUACUAACCCUACCACUGUCUAAGAAUAUUCUCACUUCUUUGAAAAGUGCAUUUCAACUUCAAGAAUAAUAGGUUUUUUAAAGUUUGCUUUGGAAAACAGAAUAAAUGUGUCCACGUCAUUUUAAAAAUAAAUAUACUUUGAAGAUGGUCAGCUAAAAAGAGCUGUGUAAGUUAAAAAAACUCUAAGGCAAAAAUGAUUUCUUCUAGCAAUAAAACAGAAUGUCAUGAUGGAUAUUUUAUGAAGAAUCCUGACCAACAUUUUGAUUACAUAAAUAGUAUAAAUUGCAAUUAAAAUUCUGAUGCACUUUUGAAAUAAUACCUUGAAACAGAGGAUUGAUUCUAGAAUAGUGAGCUCUGUUGUCUUGGAAUUCUUGGCCACAGGAGAGAAUGUGGCAAAAUGGAAAGUGCAUUAGGUUUGAAGUUAGGAGCUCCAGCUUCCGCUUCUAAUUACAGCUCUGCUACUAUUUUAUCACCUGGUACAUCUGACAAGUCAUCUGACUUUCCUGAGCCUCAUUUUUAUCAUCUAUCAAAUAAAGAAUUUGAACUUGCUGGUCUCUAAGAUUUUUGUUAGCCCUAAAUCCUAUGAUUCUAUGCCAAAGGAAAAAAAAUUCAAUAAAAUAUUACAAUUCAAAUGAAUUACAUUUUCUCAAUUUCUGUUUACACAGAAAGGGCCUAGACUCCAUUUACUGUGUAACUCCCCAUAAUAUGCAGAUUAGGAUAAUUUCAUAAAUCAUUUCUGUUUCAACUGCCCAAAAAAAUGGUUCUGAAAGGAUAUCUUAAGGAGUGAUUAAAAGUGUGAUUUCUACAAUUAUACACAUGUUUUAGAUUAAAAUAUUUGAGGUUGGUAAAUCUAAUUUGAAAUACAUUACCAACCAAAAAUCAAGAUAGUUUGGCACUGAAGUUGAAGUUAUCUACUUUAUUCGUAAUAUCCUACUCCUAUCCCACAGUUACAUGGUUCCAUUGCAAAAGGCACAGGAAAUAUGAAGAAAAAAAUAAUCCAUCUCCUUGCUUAAAAUAUUAUUUUUUUCUGAUACGUUACAAUGUGUGCUGCUGAAGAAAUUAUGAGAUACAUUUCUACUUUUAAAGAUAGCUUUAAAAUCAAAUCAUUAGCGCAUAUGACAAAAGUUGAUCCAGUUGAAGCUUAGCAAUUAACAUAUUUAUCCCCACUGUAUAUUAUCUGUACACAUAUACACCUCUUAAAUAUGUAGCAUGGAACAUUUUCAAUCCUACUGUAUCAUCACUGAAUUUAUACUGCAUUGUGAUCCAAGAGCUGAUGCCAACUCCUUCCCCACUAAAUCUCCUCCCUCAUGUUUUUCUGACAGACAUAAGUUAUUCACUUUCCUGAAAAAUUUCAUAAUUACUAUUUAUUUUCAAAGUACAAAAUUUCCACCAAGGAUGUAUCUUUGUUGAAAAGGAAAAAACCUGAAUAAUGGUGCUAAAAAAGGUUUGUCAUUUAAUUGUCAUUUCUUUAAGGCAUAAUAUUUUGCUUUUCAUAAAUAUACUGUAGAUCUUUCAUUUAAUGUUUCGUUUCCAUGUUAGUACCCACAUUGGUAUUAUAUCAUAUUAUAUGAAAUGUCACAUUCUAAAUCCAUAUCUUAGGUUAAUGUUAUUGAUAUCAUUUGACUAUAUUUCAAACUUGCUUCUACAAAAAUAAUAGUAAUAACUUACGUUUACUUAGCACAUUCUAUUUCAAGGUCUUUUCCUCACAAAAGUCCUUUUAGGUGGUACAUUUGAUAGAUGAUAAAACUGAAAUUUACAGGAGUUACAUCUCUUCUUGAAGAUCACUUAAUAACUACUUAGUAGAAUAGAGAACUGAAAUCUGACCUUCCACCUGCAAAUCUAGUGCACUUUCUGUGGUACCAUACUACUUUUUAACACUUUUUUUUCUACCUCCUUGUGUUAUAGGCAUUUAUACUCCCCAAAUACAUCAGCAUUAUCUUUGUACUUCUUAUAUUCCUAGUGUGUGUUUGAUAAACUGAAUUAACUGACUAGAUUAUAAACUCUUUGAGUACAGGGAACAUAUUUUAUUCAUCUGUUUUCCCUGACCUUGCGCAAAGUAAAUACUUAAUAAAUAUUUUUUUGGUGUUGAAUAUAAUGAGCUAUAAACUUCAGAAAAGUAAAGAGAAGUUUAAGUAUAAUAUGACUUGAACUGAGCUUUUUCUAUGCUAGGAUUAUCAUGGAACUGGCAGCACAAAACUACAAAAUGAACAUCUUGACUCUCUUUAUGCUCCCUGAACACCCCUUAUUCUAUAACUUGAAAAUGACUUCUGUAAUCUAUACACAUUUUUAUUCUUUUAAUUCCUUAAUGCUUCACAAUACAGAUUAGGCUUACUGAUUAAAAUAUUGUAAUAGGAUAUUUAGUUG
ensembl:lncRNA